AUUGAACGCUGGCGGCAUGCCUUACACAUGCAAGUCGAACGGCAGCACGGGGGCAACCCUGGUGGCGAGUGGCGAACGGGUGAGUAACAUAUCGGAACAUACCCUAGAGUGGGGGAUAACGUAGCGAAAGUUACGCUAAUACCGCAUACGAUCUAAGGAUGAAAGUGGGGGAUCUUCGGACCUCAUGCUCAUGGAGUGGCCGAUAUCAGAUUAGCUAGUUGGUGGGGUAAAAGCCCACCAAGGCGACGAUCUGUAGCUGGUCUGAGAGGACGACCAGCCACACUGGAACUGAGACACGGUCUAGACUUCUACGGAGGCAGCAGUGGGGAAUUUUGGACAAUGGGCGCAAGCCUGAUCCAGCAAUGCCGCGUGCAGGAUGAAGGCCUUCGGGUUGU
rnacentral:rRNA from 1 species